rnacentral:rRNA from 1 species
AUUGAACGCUGGCGGCAGGCUUAACACAUGCAAGUCGAGCGAGCGGCGGACGGGUGAGUAAUGUCUGGGAAACUGCCUGAUGGAGGGGGAUAACUACUGGAAACGGUAGCUAAUACCGCAUACCAUCGGAUGUGCCCAGAUGGGAUUAGCUAGUAGGUGGGGGAAUGGCUCACCUAGGCGACGAUCCCGAGCUGGUCUGAGAGGAUGACCAGCCACAGUGGAACUGAUACACGUUUCAGACUCCGACGGGAGGCAGCAGUUGGGAAUAUUGCACAAUGGGCGCAAGCCUGAUGCAGCCAUGCCGCGUGUGUGAAGAAGGCCUUCGGGUUGUAAAGCACUUUCAGCGAGGAGGCGUUACUCGCAGAAGAAGCACCGGCUAACUCCGUGCCAGCAGCCGCGGUAAUUC